GCCAAAAAUCACCUGCGGGCUACGCCAGAACCACUUGGACGACUCUCCGAAAUGACCUGCCGGGCAUGUUGGAACCACCUCUCAGACGUGCCAGAAGCACGUGGCGGACAGUCCGGAAUCACCUGUUGGGCAUACGCAACCACCUCUGACACGUACCAGAACCACGUGCCGUGCACGCCGGAACCACCUACCGGACAGACCGGAAUCAACUUUUGGGCAUGCCGGAACCACCAGUCAGAUGUGCCAGAAACACGUGCCGGAGACGCCGGAAGCACCUGCCGAGCACGUCGCAACCACCUGCUCAACUCGCCUGAACCACCUGCCGGACACGCCAAAAUCACCUGCCCGCUACACCAGCACCACUUCGGGGACAAGCCGGAAUCACGUGAGGGGCAUGCCGGCACAGCCUCUCAGACUGAACCUCGUGCCGCGGACACCACAGAACCACCUGCCGGACAGACCGGAACCACCUGCCGGACACGCCGGAACCACCGGCUCGACACGCCGGAACGACCGCUGGACAUGCAAAAUCACCUGCCGGCUACGCCGGAAACACUUGGCGAACACUCCGGAAACACCUGCCGGGCAUGCCGGAACCACCUCUCAGAUAUGCCAGAACCACGUGCCAAUGACCCCGGAAGCACCUGCCGAGCACGCCGGAACCACCUGCUCGACUCGCCAGAACCACCUGCCGGACACGCAAAAAUCACCUGCCGGCUACGCCAUAACCAGUUGGGGAAAACUUCGGAAUCACCUGCCGGGCUUGCUGGAACCACCUGCCGGUCAUGCCAAAAUCACCUGCCAACUACGCCAGUACCACUUGGCGGACACUGUGGAAACACCUGUCUGGCCGGCCGGAACCACAACUCAGACGUGCCAGAACCAUGUGCAUGAGAUGCUGGAACCACACCCUGAACAGACGGAAAACACCUGCCACACCCGUCUGAAAUACCUGCCGAGCACGCCGGAGCCACCUGCUCGACUCGCCGGAACCACCUACCUGACAUGCCCAAAUCACCAGCCGGGUAUGCCAGAACCACUUGGCGGACACUCCGGAAUCAUCUGCCGGACAUGCCGGAACCAGCUCUCAGACACACCAGAACCACGUGCCGGAGACGCUGGAAGCACCUGCAGAGCAUGCCGGAGCCACCUGCUCGACUCGCCAGAAACACCUGUAGGACACGCCAAAAUCACCUGCCGGGUACGCCAGAACCACCUGGCGGACACUCCGAAAUCACCUGUCGCGCAUGCCGGAACCACCUCUCAGACGUGCCGGAAGCACGUGCCGGACACGCCGGAAUCACCUACCGGACAGACCGGAACCACCUGCCGAGCACGCCGGAGCCACCUGUUCGACUCGCUGGAACCACCUGCCGGACAGGCCA
rnacentral:lncRNA from 1 species